UCAUUAAUCCAACCACUAUGAUAAAAUUAGAACGAUACAGAGAAGAUUAGCAUGGCCCCUACGCAAGGAUGACACGCACAAAUCGAGAAAUGGUCCAAAUAUAC
rnacentral:snRNA from 1 species